CGCCGCUUGAGACCCUGCAGCUGUCGCCAGAAAAUUUUGCCGGUAAGCGUUUUAAGUUUGAUUUCAGUUCUUUUGGAAUUUCGAGAAGGUUUUGAUGCUGCGUGGUUUUUAUAGUUGAUCCACCAGAGCUUCUGGCCGCCGCCAGAGCUGUGCCGGGGCCGGUUCGAAACCACAGCUGCUUCGUGUUGUUAUUCCGAGCUAUUUAUGCUGCUGCGAGAAUGUGUGGGGCUGUGCUUUGAAGCUGCCUUUGAUUUUGAGUUGAGGUGAAAAGAACUUAUGAGGCGCUUGGAUUAUGAAAUUGCGUUUUGAGGAUAUGGGCGCAGAAGUCACGAAGAGUUUAUUUU